CCAUCGCCGACCAUGGUUUCCCCACCUUCUCCUCCUCCCUCCCCUCCCUUCCCCUCUCCUCAUGACAGAAGAGAAGUAAGACGGACACGAGGGAGGGAUCCCGUCCGGCGACGACCCUCCUCGCUGGAUCCAGUGUCGCCACGCCAUGCCAAUUAAUGACGAGAGUGAGAUAGGCAGCACGAGACAACGCUGACACCGGCCGCGAUGAGGAGGCACAUGCUCUAGCUCAUCGCUUGUGCGGUGCGCACCUCCGCUUCUCAUCCUCAUCCUCAGCACCAUCUACAUCGGGUCAGCACGAACCCCCGACCAUCCCAAAUUUGUCGUUGCUCCGUUGUUCCCCUUCUGUCUCUAUAGCAGUCGAUGGAUGUGUUUUUGUGCGUGGCUUCUUCACGUGAUAGGUCGCCGCGCUGAGAGCGUUGACAGGUUUCUUCUGGCUCGAAACUGCCACAGGCGCGUGUGCGGCUGCCUGUGCGGUGCAGGGCGGUUUGAAGUCUACGACGGCCCUGGGUGCAGGUGUCUCUACUUCUUCUGGUGCGGCGGGGGGCGGCUCGAAGCCUGCAGCGGUGGCAUCGGGUUCUGAUGGCAGUGGCCAUCGCGGCGGGCGGGAUGGGAAGUCGCAGCAAGGGGACUCCGGAAGUCUGUCCGAGGAGGGAUAUCAACAGGACCUCCUGGUGGUUACCUGCACGCGACAACAACCACGACCAAGAUACGAAAACAUGAACAUCUCCCCGACUUGCUGAAGCUCGACAGGGGCCUUCCCGGAUCGAGGCUAGAUCAGAUGUUGGCCUUCAUUCUUUAAAAGUUGGGUGUACAAGAGCUUUAGGAAGAAAAAUCCCGAAGAAAACCCACUCCCACCAAUGCGUUUUAGCUCACUAUAGCUAGUUAUGUGUAUAUUUAGUUGUAUUUUAUAGAUGAAUACCAGAUUUGUAUGAUGUAUGAUUGUAAUGUACUUUGCUUGGUUGUUGUAUGAAAUAUUAUGCCUGAUUGGAUCUUUUUGAAUCAUAUUA